UACGUAGGGGGCUAGCGUUGUCCGGAUUUAUUGGGCGUAAAGAGCGUGUAGGCGGCCAGGUAGGUCUGCUGUGAAAACUCGAGGCUCAACCUCGAGACGUCGGCGGAAACCAUCUGGCUAGAGUCCGGAAGAGGAGAGUGGAAUUCCUGGUGUAGCGGUGAAAUGCGCAGAUAUCGGGAGGAACACCGGUGGCGAAGGCGGUUCUCUGGGCCUUACCUGACGCUGAGGCGCGAAAGCUAGGGGAGCGAACAGG
rnacentral:rRNA from 1 species